CCCGUUUAAAACUUUUAAACCAAACCCUUUCAAUUAACGCCGGGAUCCGAGAAUUCCAAACCAUCGCACUUCUAGGAAGACAAGCACUAACCUUCUCACCCCCAAACUGCUUUUUUUUUCAGUUUGGUUUCUAAAUAAGGUACUUAGGAAUUUUAUUCAAACCUAAGUCAACAACAUCAACAAUUCCACAAAAAUUACAUUGUGUACCAACAUAAGUGAUAAAUCAAUAUGGCUAUGUGCUCAAAUAAUCAAAUCUAACAUGGAUAAGUUUUAAAGUAAAAGUACAAGUUAAGAUGUUAUCCGGCAUCUAACUAAAUAUGUACUCAAUUCAAACAAAUAAUAUCUUCAUAGACGGCAAGUCGUCAACGCUACUAAACAAAUUUUUUAUUUUUUAUUUUUUUAUUUUUAUGAAUGAUUUUUUAUUUAUUUAUUUUAUAACAGUUAUACGGACUCAAUUAGCAGUUGAAAAAUAUGUAUUCUAAGUAUCCUAAUACUCACCCACCCCCAAACUAAAAUACUACAUUGUCCCCAAUGUAGAAGCAAAACUAAACAAAGUAAAGGGUAAGGAUCAGAAACUCCCCGGGGUAAAUGUGGAUGCAAUGAAUAAUCAGGCUGCUCCAAUUGGUAGGUAUCACGACAGAUGUAGCUUUUCUUUGUUGUGAGGCUUUAAUUCUCUGUUUCAAGUAUUCAAAAUAAAUAUUAGUGAUAGCAUACAAAAGUUAGAUAUUUGCAAUAAAUUCAUACCAAGAAAGAUUGAGAUUUAGGUACCACCUUAAAGAUGCAUAUCACAUCAAUGUAAGCUCAAUAGAAUGCUAAGAUGUUAACGAUGAACCUAGAUAACCAUGUCAAAAUAAAAUGAACUUAAUAAAUAAAUAUGCCUAAGUUACUGGUGCAGGUCUGAAAGUACCACUUAAAAUGUGUCCAACACUACCCAUUUAAAUGCAUGAGUUCCUAAAUUAAUGCAGUCCCUAAAACUAUAUGUAAUGCAAUAGUUAAUUAAAAUAGCAAAAGGAGAUAGAAGAAUGGGUUGCCUCCCAUUAAGCGCUCGAUUUAUAGUCUAGAGCUCGACUUUUUGUUCAUUCAUUCUGGUGUUGCAAGUUGAACGGUUGAUUUUUCUUUCGAAAAUUCACCGUUCCAAUAUGGCUUCAACCGUUGUCCAUUAACCUUAAAGGUCCCUUUACUUUCAUGCGUUAUUUCAACUGUCCCAUAAGGAAACACCUUGACUAUGGUGUAUGGCCCUGACCACCUAGACCUCAAUUUACCAGGAAAAAGUUUGAGUCUAGAAUUGUACAGCAAAACUUGUUGCCCAACCUCAAACUUCCUUCUUUGAAUGUGCAUGUCAUGCCACUUUUUUGUGCGCUCCUUGUAGAGUUUUGCGUUCUCAUAGGCUUCCAAUCGAAACUCAUCCAUUUCAUUCAACUGAAGUAAUCUCUUUUCACCGGCGGCCUUUAAAUUAAAGUUCAAGUUCUUGACUGCCCAAUAAGCUCGGUGCUCCAAUUCAACUGGCAAAUGACACGCUUUUCCAAAAACCAAACGAUAAGGAGACAUGCCUAUAGGUGUUUUAAAAGCCGUUCUGUAAGCCCACAAAGCAUCAUCAAGUUUCUUAGACCAAUCUUUUCUUGAAGAACUCACUGUUACCUCCAGUAUCCGCUUUAAUUCUCGAUUGGAGAUUUCAACUUGACCGCUGGUCUGAGGGUGAUAAGGGGUAGCUAUACGAUGUCGGACGCCAUAUUUAGCCAGCAAAGACUCAAACUGACGAUUGCAAAAGUGUUUGCCCCCAUCACUUAUGAUAGCUCGAGGUGUACCAUAACGGGUGAAAAUAUACUUCUUUAGGAACCCAAUUACAACCUUCGCAUCGUUGGUUGGCAAUGCUACUGCUUCCACCCACUUAGAAACAUAAUCAACGGCGACAAGUAUAUACUGAUUCGAGAAUGAUGAGGGAAAUGGCCCCAUAAAGUCGAUCCCCCACACAUCAAAGAGCUCUACCUCCAGAAUGCUAUUCAGAGGCAUCUCGUUCUUUCCUGAGAUAUUUCCCGUGCGCUGACAUCUAUCACACCUCUUCACAAAUUCAAAUGUAUCUCGGAAUAUCGAUGGCCAGUAAAAACCAGACUGUAGAAUUUUAGCGGCAGUCUUUGAUGCGCCAAAGUGUCCAGCAUAGGCAGAUGAAUGACAUUGCUCGAGUAUCUGAGGGAUCUCUUCUUUAGGAAUACACCACCUAAUAAUUUGAUCUGGACCCCGCCUGUAAAGAAUAGGGUCCUCCCAAAAAUAAUACUUCAAGUCAGAAAAGAAUUUCUUCUUUUGAUGACUUGAAUAGUCUGGUGGAAUAAUGGAUUUGGCCACAUAAUUCACUAUAUCAGCAUACCAAGGUACAUCCUCUAUAUUGAAAAUCUGUUCAUCUGGAAAGAUCUCAUUUAUGUUCACUGACUUUUCCUGUUCUCCAUGCUCAAGUCGGGAUAGGUGAUCAGCU
rnacentral:lncRNA from 1 species